rnacentral:rRNA from 1 species
AUUGAACGCUGGCGGCAGGUCUUACACAUGCAAGUCGAGCGAGCGGCGGCCGGGUGAGUAAUGCAUGGGGACUGCCCGAUAGAGGGGGAUAACUACUGGAAACGGUUGCUAAUACCGCAUACUAUCGGAUAACCCAUAUGGGAUUAGCUCGUAGGUGGGGUAAAGGCUCACCUAGGCGACGAUCUCUAGCUGGUCUCAGAGGAUGAUCAGCCACACUGGGACUGAAACACGGCCCAAACUACUACGGAGGCAGCAGUAGGGAAUAUUGCACAAUGGGCGCAAGCCUAAUGCAGCCAUGCAGCGUGUAUGGAGAAGGACUUAGGAUUGUAAAAUACUUUCGACGAGGGGGCGUUACCCGCAGAAGAAGGGCCGGCUGACUCCGUGCCAGCAGCCGCGGUAAUAC